rnacentral:ncRNA from 2 species
ACCACCGGCGUUCCAUACGGUCCGCCGUCGCCGAGGACGGCGACAUGGGAGGAAGCCCGGUGCGAUUCCGGCGCGGUCCCGCCACUGUGAACCCGGCAGAGCCAGACGGCCGGGUAAGUCAGGAACUCCCGCUGUCCUCACUGCCCGGGG